rnacentral:rRNA from 1 species
GACGAACGCUGGCGGCGUGCUUAACACAUGCAAGUCGAACGGAAAGGCCCUGCUUUUGUGGGGUGCUCGAGUGGCGAACGGGUGAGUAACACGUGAGUAACCUGCCCUUGACUUUGGGAUAACUUCAGGAAACUGGGGCUAAUACCGGAUAGGAGCUCCUGCUGCAUGGAGGGGGUUGGAAAGUUUCGGCGGUUGGGGAUGGACUCGCGGCUUAUCAGCUUGUUGGUGGGGUAGUGGCUUACCAAGGCUUUGACGGGUAGCCGGCCUGAGAGGGUGACCGGCCACAUUGGGACUGAGAUACGGCCCAGACUCCUACGGGAGGCAGCAGUGGGGAAUAUUGCCCAAUCGGCGGAAGCCUGAUGCAGCAACGCCGCGUGCGGGAUGACGGCCUUCGGGUUGUAAACCGCUUUCGCCUGUGACGCAGCGUGAGUGACGGUAAUGGGUAAAGAAGCACCGGCUAACUACGUG